rnacentral:rRNA from 1 species
GACGGGUAUCCGGCCUGAGAGGGUGUACGGACACAUUGGGACUGAGAUACGGCCCAGACUCCUACGGGAGGCAGCAGUGGGGAAUAUUGCACAAUGGGCGCAAGCCUGAUGCAGCGACGCCGCGUGGGGGAUGAAGGCCUUCGGGUUGUAAACUCCUUUCGCUAUCGACGAAGCCACUUGUGGUGACGGUAGGUAGAUAAGAAGCACCGGCUAACUACGUGCCAGCAGCCGCGGUAAUACAAA